rnacentral:rRNA from 1 species
CAACUUUCAACAACGGAUCUCUUGGCUCUCGCAUCGAUGAAGAACGCAGCGAAAUGCGAUAAGUAAUGUGAAUUGCAGAAUUCAGUGAAUCAUCGAAUCUUUGAACGCACCUUGCGCUCCUUGGUAUUCUGAGGAGCAUGCCUGUUUGAGUGUCAUUA